UACGGAGGGAGCUAGCGUUGUUCGGAAUUACUGGGCGUAAAGCGCGCGUAGGCGGCUUUGUAAGUUAGAGGUGAAAGCCCGGAGCUCAACUCCGGAACUGCCUUUAAGACUGCAUCGCUUGAAUCCGGGAGAGGUGAGUGGAACUGCGAGUGUAGAGGUGAAAUUCGUAGAUAUUCGCAAGAACACCAGUGGCGAAGGCGGCUCGCUGGCCCGAUACUGACGCUGAGGCACGAAAGCGUGGGGAGCAAACAGG
rnacentral:rRNA from 1 species